GUGGGGAAUUUUGGACAAUGGGCGCAAGCCUGAUCCAGCAAUGCCGCGUGCAGGAAGAAGGCCUUCGGGUUGUAAACUGCUUUUGUACGGAACGAAACGGUCCGGGUUAAUACCCUGGGCUAAUGACGGUACCGUAAGAAUAAGCACCGGCUAACUACGUGCCAGCAGCCGCGGUAAUACGUAGGGUACAAGCGUUAAUCGGAAUUACUGGGCGUAAAGCGUGCGCAGGCGGUUUUGUAAGACAGGCGUGAAAUCCCCGGGCUCAACCUGGGAAUUGCGCUUGUGACUGCAUAGCUGGAGUGCGGCAGAGGGAGAUGGAAUUCCGCGUGUAGCAGUGAAAUGCGUAGAUAUGCGGAGGAACACCGAUGGCGAAGGCAAUCCCCUGGGCCUGCACUGACGCUCAUGCACGAAAGCGUGGGGAGCAAACAGGAUUAGAAACCCGGGUAGUCC
rnacentral:rRNA from 1 species